ACUCAAAGGAAUAGACGGGGGUCCGCACAAGCGGUGGAGUAUGUGGUUUAAUUCGAUGAUACGCGAGGAACCUUACCUGGGCUAGAAUGCUAUCUGACCGUCUGUGAAAGCAGAUUUUCCGCAAGGACAGGUAGUAAGGUGCUGCAUGGCCGUCGUCAGCUCGUGCCGUGAGGUGUUGGGUUAAGUCCCGCAACGAGCGCAACCCCCAUCUUCAGUUACCAGCGGGUAAUGCCGGGAACUCUGGAGAAACUGCCGUCGUAAGACGCGAGGAAGGAGGGGAUGAUGUCAGGUCAUCAUGGCCUUUAUGCCCAGGGCUACACACGUACUACAAUGGAGAGGACAAAGGGCAGCUACCUGGCGACAGGAUGCGAAUCUCAAAAACCUCUUCUCAGUUCAGAUUGGAGUCUGCAACUCGACUCCAUGAAGCUGGAAUCGCUAGUAAUCGCGCAUCAGCAAUGGCGCGGUGAAUACGUUCCCGGACCUUGUACACACCGCCCGU
rnacentral:rRNA from 1 species